AGUGAACGCUGGCGGUAGGCCUAACACAUGCAAGUCGAACGGCAGCACAGUAAGAGCUUGCUCUUACGGGUGGCGAGUGGCGGACGGGUGAGGAAUACAUCGGAAUCUACUUUUUCGUGGGGGAUAACGUAGGGAAACUUACGCUAAUAUCGCAUACGACCUACGGGUGAAAGCAGGGGAUCUUCGGACCUUGCGCGAUUGAAUGAGCCGAUGUCGGAUUAGCUAGUUGGCGGGGUAAAGGCCCCCCAAGGCGACGAUCCGUAGCUGGUCUGAGAGGAUGAUCAGCCACACUGGAACUGAGACACGGUCCAGACUCCUACGGGAGGCAGCAGUGGGGAAUAUUGGACAAUGGGCGCAAGCCUGAUCCAGCCAUACCGCGUGGGUGAAGAAGGCCUUCGGGUUGUAAAGCCCUUUUGUUGGGAAAGAAAAGCAGCAGGUUAAUACCCCGCUGUUCUGACGGUACCCAAAGAAUAAGCACCGGCUAACUUCGUG
rnacentral:rRNA from 1 species